rnacentral:rRNA from 1 species
AUACAGAGGGUGCGAGCGUUAAUCGGAAUUACUGGGCGUAAAGCGCGCGUAGGCGGCUUAUUAAGUCAGAUGUGAAAUCCCCGGGCUCGACCUGGGAACUGCAUCUGAUACUGGUAAGCUAGAGUUUUGGAGAGGGAAGUAGAAUUUCAGGUGUAGCGGUGAAAUGCAUAGAGAUCUGAAGGAAUACCAGUGGCGAAGGCGACUUCCUGGCCAAAAACUGACGCUGAGGUGCGAAAGCGUGGGUAGCAAACGGGAUUAGAAACCCUUGUAGUCC